rnacentral:rRNA from 1 species
GAUGAACGCUAGCGGCAGGCCUAAUACAUGCAAGUCGAACGAGAUUACGAGGCUUGCUUCUUAUGAAAGUGGCGCACGGGUGCGUAACGCGUAUGCAACCUACCUUAAUCAGGGGGAUAGCCCGAAGAAAUUCGGAUUAAGACCGCAUAAAAACACAGGAUAGCAUUAUCCAAUGUUCAAAUAUUUAUAGGAUUAAGAUGGGCAUGCGUGUCAUUAGCUAGUUGGCGGGGUAACGGCCCACCAAGGCGACGAUGACUAGGGGAUCUGAGAGGAUGACCCCCCACACUGGUACUGAGACACGGACCAGAAUCCUACGGGAGGCAGCAGUAAGGAAUAUUGGUCAAGGGAGGGAACUCUGAACCAGCCAUGCCGCGUGCAGGAAGACAGCCCUCUGGGUCGUAAACUGCUUUUAUUCGGGAAUAAACCUUUCUACGUGUAGGAAGCUGAAUGUACCGAAGGAAUAAGGAUCGGCUAACUCCGUG